CAGACUCGGUGGUGAGAGGGCGGUCGCUGCGUCGACUCAAGGUGAGUCCGAAGAGAUUAAAAGGACAUAGAGGAGUGAAAUAGAAUAAAAAAAGUUGAACGAUAAUUUAACUCGAAAGUUCUUCGUCCUCAAGGUAAGGCAUCGGGAGAAGCGGAUGGAAGAAUUGGAUGAAGUAGACAAUAAAGCUGAGGGAGUAAUGUAAAAAAAGAAAGGAAAAAAAAACAUGAAUAAUGUGAUGAAAAAUAUCAGAUGGGAGAAGACAUGAGGCUACGGGUGUUGCAAUCUUUGAAUGAGUGCUUGAAUAGAUGAUAAUGGAGGAUUGGGGGAACAAAGGAACCAUGAAAGAAAAUAUAAAGCAAUAGAUGAUGGUGGAAAAAUCGAGGAAAUAAAGGAAAUUAUAUAGGAGGUUAU